rnacentral:lncRNA from 1 species
AAAAAAGAAAAAGGAGAACGACAUUUUUUUUUCUCUUGGGGGAGAAGCCAUAGAAACACCAUUAUUUUCUCCGGCUUUCUAUUUUUUUGGCAACACAAACAUACCUAAAAUCGUGCACACACAUACACACGUAGAUUAGAGAGAGAAAGAGCGACGAAGAGAGAGAGAGGGAGGAGAUCGAGAAGGAGAAUGGAGGGUUCGAGCUUUUCCGGCGAACCCAUCGCAAGAAUUGUCUAUUUUAGUCGAAUCCAGGUAUUACAGGUUCAAAAAUCCACCAGAGUGUUGAAAUUCCUCAAAAUCUUCUUCGUUUUCCAUUAGUUUUAGUUGAAUCUGGCCAAAAACAGUGAAAUUUUUGCCAAAAUUCGUUGUUAGCUUCGGGUUUCCUAUCGUUGAUCGAACCAUUGCUGACUUGUUCGUCUCUGUUUUAAAUCGAUUUCGUGAUAACUUUUGCAUAUUGGUUUGGUUCGCUUGAAUGGGGUUUCUGGUUUUGAUCCUUUGGUUUUAGCACGGGUUUGAGGGAAUUCGUACACGGUCGGCCUCAGUCGUCUUGUCGUGGUCAGUCUUGGAUUGUGGUGUCUCUACACCAAGUUGGGAUUUCAUCACUGUUGAGGUUUUUCAUUCGGGCUCUCAAAUUUGAUUUUCUUAAACAUUAUUAUCAACAUAAUCGAUUCUUCAAAGGUCCAUUUCUUCUCCCGAUCUUUACCUUAUUUUUAUUCUUUAUUGAUGUUGUGGGUGUGAUUGAUUUAUGUGUUGUGUGCUUAGUUCGAAUCUUCGUUGGUGUUUGCGUCAAUGUUGGUUUCAGAUUUUGAGAUGUGAAUGGAUAAUAGAAGCAUGCACUAAUCAUGUGUUUAAAGAUGGGUUUCGGGUGAGAAUUGAAAACUUGAUAUAAUUGGCGAUUUUGGUUAGUCUGAUUUCAUUGUUCGUAUAACUUGAAAUGAACGUUAAUUGAACUUGGUAGUAUCAUGAUACGUCAAUUGGUUUAGGGAAAUAGGUUGGGUAGGCAAAUGUUUAGAAUCGGUGGUUUUGAUUGAAUGUUGAAAAUUUCGUGGAAUGUUUGAAAUUUUGUUGAAUAGUUGAUCUUCUCGCACUAAAAAUGUAUUCAUUUGGCCGAGGAAUGCCUCGAAGAAUCUGUAUUGAUUUAUCCAGGGAAUGCCCCGAAGUAUCUUGUACUUGGAAGAUCUUCGUGGUGAAGGCCCGAGGUGUCUGGUGGAGCCGUGGAGUGUAGAUAGGAUUAGUGUACGUUACAUAGGAUUUAUUUUUGCAUUUUUUAUUUAUUUCGGGAUUGUAUAAUUGGACUGAAUACUAUACUUUAGAUUUAUUUUGUUUAGUGUGUUUGUUUGUUUGAUUUGUGUGUUUUGUUGGUUUAUACAUUCAUAAUGUUCAAAUUAGCCGAUAUGCUCCACUAAGCGACCGUGGUCGAACCACGGGAUCGGGGGGUGCCUAACACCUUCGCAAAUCAGUUUACAGAGUCAAAUAAUUUUAAAAUGAUUUUUUCAAAGGUGACUUGGCACACCGGAUUAUGCCAAGUGGCGACUCCGAGUUUUGAAUAUAAUGAAUCCUUUUCGAAACAAUCUUUCUUUUGUCACUUUAAUAAUAAAAUCCUUUCGAACCAUAAAAUCAAUUCCUUUGGAGUACGAAAAAGGGGUGUGACAGGCGCGAUAGUGACACCCUUCCAACUGGGUUAUAGGUUGGACCCCAAUCUAUUCAAAAAGGGGCAUGUAGGUUAGAUAAUUACCUCCCACAGUUUCAAUUUCAGUUCCAGUCUCAGAAUAGAACUCAGUUUAGUUCUACAGAUUCAGGACUGUCAGAUACAGUCACUUAGCUCAGUACGGAGCUCAGUAUAGUUCCACAGGAACAAGACUAUCAGAUACAGUCACUCAGUUAUCAGCUACACAGUAUCAGUAAACUCAGAUAUCAGUAAUUCAGAACUCAGUUCAGUGUUAUCACGAUCUCAGAUUAUAGUAUAUGUAUUCAUGCAUGUACUCCCAUUCAGUUAUAUUCAUGUCAUUCAGUCAGUAUUAUUCAUGCAUAUGACCCCAUACAUUUUAGCGUACCUCUCUUAGAAUACCGGUACAUUCAAAGUACUAACGCAUACUUUUCUCUUGCGCUAUGAUGUUUUAUAUCAUAGGUUCAGACGCGCGGGCUCUCGAGCACCCUUAGCAGUUCAGAUCUUCAGCAGUCAGAGUUAGUGGUGAGUCCUCAUAGUUUGAGGACAUGAUUAUUUUCUUCAGUAUUUCGGUUUAUCAGUACAAUUUUCAGUAGUUGGAGUUAGUUGGGGGCUUGUCCCAUCAACUCUAUGAUUCAGAAAGUAGAGGCUUUUCAGACUAGAGUAUUUUUAGACAGAUAUUUCAGUUUUGGUAUUGUUAUACCGUAUUCAGUUUUAUUUCAGUAUUGAACCUUAUGGCAAGUUUUUGCCUAAUUUAUGCAUAUUUACAGUAUUGCUAUUCAGUUAUUGUAGCAGGUACAGGUCAUGCAUUAGCUAGUGGUCCUUCGGGAUUAUGAGCGGGGUACAGAC